rnacentral:tRNA from 7 species
GCCCGAGUGGUGAAAUUGGUAUACACGACGGAUUCAAAAUCCGUUUCCUUCGGGAGUGUCGGUUCAAGUCCGACCUCGGGCACCA